rnacentral:rRNA from 1 species
CAGGCCUAACACAUGCAAGUCGAACGGUAACAGGCUCUUCGGAUGCUGACGAGUGGCGAACGGGUGAGUAAUACAUCGGAACGUGCCCGAUCGUGGGGGAUAACGGAGCGAAAGCUUUGCUAAUACCGCAUACGAUCUACGGAUGAAAGCAGGGGACCGCAAGGCCUUGCGCGGACGGAGCGGCCGAUGGCAGAUUAGGUAGUUGGUGGGAUAAAAGCUUACCAAGCCGGCGAUCUGUAGCCGGCCUGAGAGGGUGACCGGCCACACUGGGACUGAGACACGGCCCAGACUCCUACGGGAGGCAGCAGUGGGGAAUAUUGGACAAUGGGCGGAAGCUGAUCCAGCAACGCCGCGUGAGGGAUGACGGCCUUCGGGUUGUAAACCUCUUUCAGCACAGACGAAGUUUUGCUUUUUUGGGUGAAGUGACGGUAUGUGCAGAAGAAGGACCGGCCAACUACGUGCCAGCAGCCGCGGUAAU